rnacentral:rRNA from 1 species
GCCAUGCUAGUCGUACGAGUUCAGACUCGUGGCGAAUAGCUCAGUAACACGUGGUCAAACUACCCUGUCGAGCGGGACACCCUCGGGAAACUGAGGCUAAUCCCGCAUACGGCUCGCUGCCUGGAGUGGCGCGAGCUCGAAACGCCCCGGCGCGACAGGAUGUGACUGCGGCCGAUUAGGUAGACGGUGGGGUAACGGCCCACCGUGCCGAUAAUCGGUACGGGUUGUGAGAGCAAGAGCCCGGAGACGGUAUCUGAGACAAGAUACCGGGCCCUACGGGGCGCAGCAGGCGCGAAACCUUUACACUGCACGCCAGUGCGAUAAGGGGACUCCCAGUGCGAGGGCAUAUCGUCCUCGCUUUUGUGUACCGUAGGGAGGUACACGAAUAAGGGCUGGGCAAGACCGGUGCCAGCCGCCGCGGUAAUACCGGCAGCCCGAGUGAUGACCGCUAUUAUUGGGCCUAAAGCGUCCGUAGCCGGCCACGCAAGUCCGUCGGGAAAUCCGCACGCCCAACGUGCGGGCGUCCGGCGGAAACUGCCUGGCUUGGGACCGGAAGACCAGAGGGGUACGUCCGGGGUAGGAGUGAAAUCCCGUAAUCCUGGACGGACCACCGGUGGCGAAAGCGCCUCUGGAAGACGGAUCCGACGGUGAGGGACGAAAGCUCGGGUCACGAACCGGAUUAGAUACCCGGGUAGUCCGAGCCGUAAACGAUGUCUGCUAGGUGUGCCACUGGCUACGAGCCAGUGGUGUGCCGUAGGGAAGCCGUGAAGCAGACCGCCUGGGAAGUACGUCCGCAAGGAUGAAACUUAAAGGAAUUGGCGGGGGAGCACUACAACCGGAGGAGCCUGCGGUUUAAUUGGACUCAACGCCGGACAUCUCACCAGCACCGACAGUAGCCGUGAAGAUCAGUGUGAUGAGCUUAUUGGAGCUACUGAGAGGAGGUGCAUGGCCGCCGUCAGCUCGUACCGUGAGGCGUCCUGUUAAGUCAGGCAACGAGCGAGACCCACACUCCUAAUUGCCAGCAUGACCCACGUGGUUGAUGGGUACAUUAGGAGGACUGCCANUGCCAACUGGAGGAAGGAAUGGGCAACGGUAGGUCAUUAUGCCCCGAAAGUGCUGGGCGACCGCGGGCUACAUGGUCGAAACAGUGGGAUGCUACGCC